rnacentral:rRNA from 1 species
UCAGCAUGCCGCGUGUGUGAUGAAGGCCUGCGGGUUGUAAGCACUUUUGAUGGGAAAGAAAUCUUCUUGGCUAAUACCUAGGAAGGAUGACGUUACCCAUAGAAUAAGCACCGGCUAACUCUGUGCCAGCAGCCGCGGUAAUACAGAGGGUGCAAGCGUUAAUCGAAAUUAUUGGGCGUAAAGGGUGCGUAGACGGGCUGAUAAGUUAAUUGUGAAAUCCCUGGGCUUAACCUAGGAACUGCAAUUAAUACUGUUAGUCUAGAGUAUGAUAGAGGAAAAUAGAAUUCUCGGUGUAGCGGUGAAAUGCGUAGAUAUCGAGAGGAAUACCAGAAGCGAAGGCGAUUUUCUGGGUCAAUACUGACGUUGAGGCACGAAAGCGUGGGGAUCAAACAGGAUUAGAUACCCUGGUAGUCCACGCUGUAAACGAUGAGAACUGGGUGUUGCUAAAUGUAUAAUUUAGCGGCGCUGUAGCUAACGCGUUAAGCUCUCCGCCUGAGUAGUACGAUCGCAAGAUUAAAACUCAAAGGAAUUGACGGGGGCCCGCACAAGCGGUGGAACAUGUGGUUUAAUUCGAUGCAACCCGAAGAAACUUAGCUGCUCUUGACAUCCUAGGAACCUUUCAGAAAUGAGAGG